rnacentral:tRNA from 1 species
GGCCCUAUAGCUCAGUGGAUAGAGCGAGCGCGUCCUAAGUGCUGCGUCGGCGGUUCGAGUCCGUCUAGGGCCG